AUUGAACGCUGGCGGCAGGACUAACACAUGCAAGUCGAACGAGUGGCGGACGGGAUAGUAAUGUAUGGGAAAGUGCCCGAUGGAGGGGGAUAACUAAGGAAAAAGGUCGAUAAUAACGCACACCGUGGGCUGUGCACAGAUGGGAUUAGCUAGUAGGUGGGGUAACGGCGCACCUAGGCGACGAUCCCUAGCUGGUCUGAGAGGAGGACCAGCCACACUGGAACUGAGACACGGGCCAGACUCCUACGGGAGGCAGCAGUGGGGAAUAUUGCACAAUGGGCGCAAGCCUGAUGCAGCCAUGCCGCGUGUAUGAAGAAGGCCUUCGGGUUGUAAAGUACUUUCAGCGAGGAGGCGUUACUCGCAGAAGAAGCACCGGCUAACUCCGUGCCAGCAGCCGCGGUAAUAC
rnacentral:rRNA from 1 species